rnacentral:rRNA from 1 species
GAUGAACGCUGGCGGCGUGCCUAAUACAUGCAAGUCGAGCGAACAGACGAGGAGCUUGCUCCUCUGACGUUAGCGGCGGACGGGUGAGUAACACGUGGAUAACCUACCUAUAAUACUGGGAUAACUUCGGGAAACCGGAGCUAAUACCGGAUAAUAUAUUGAACCGCAUGGUUCAAUAGUGAAAGACGGUUUUGCUGUCACUUAUAGAUGGAUCCGCGUCGCAUUAGCUAGUUGGUAAGGUAACGGCUUACCAAGGCAACGAUGCGUAGCCGACCUGAGAGGGUGAUCGGCCACACUGGAACUGAGACACGGUCCAGACUCCUACGGGAGGCAGCAGUAGGGAAUCUUCCGCAAUGGGCGAAAGCCUGACGGAGCAACGCCGCGUGAGUGAUGAAGGUCUUCGGAUCGUAAAACUCUGUUAUUAGGGAAGAACAAAUGCGUAAGUAACUAUGCACGUCUUGACGGUACCUAAUCAGAAAGCCCCGGCUAACUACGUG